rnacentral:rRNA from 1 species
AUGAACGCUAGCUACAGGCUUUAACACAUGCAAGGUCGAGGGGGCAGCAUGGUCUUAGCUUGCUAAGACUGAUGGCGACCGGCGCACGGGUGAGUAACACGUAUCCAACCUGCCGUCUACUCUUGGACAGCCUUCUGAAAGGAAGAUUAAUACAAGAUGGCAUCAUGAGUCCGCAUGUUCACAUGAUUAAAGGUAUUCCGGUAGACGAUGGGGGAUGCGUUCCAUUAGAUAGUAGGCGGGGUAACGGCCCACCUAGUCUUCGAUGGAUAGGGGUUCUGAGAGGAAGGUCCCCCACAUUGGAACUGAGACACGGUCCAAACUCCUACGGGAGGCAGCAGUGAGGAAUAUUGGUCAAUGGACGAGAGUCUGAACCAGCCAAGUAGCGUGCAGGAAGACAGCCCUAUGGGUUGUAAACUGCUUUUAUAAGGGAAUAAAGUGGGAGUCGUGACUCUUUUUGCAUGUACCUUAUGAAUAAGGACCGGCUAAUUCCGUG